CUGGCCACAUCAUUCCCUUACCGUCCUUCUUCUAACCCUUUCUUUGGCAGGGAGAAAUUCCCACAUAGUCCCCUGAUUUCAGGAAAGAAAUUCUCCACAGGAACAUGUAAUCUGUUGAAGCAGAGAAAUCAGGAACAGCACCAAGCAAAAAAAGGUUUUCUCCUUUUGGUAUCUUGAAGAUGUUUCCAACCCUGUUGUGGAGAGAGCUGACUCAUUCUUAUUUUCCUAAAGCCUCACAAUGCCUAAGGGGUAAGUGAGAAUUGGGCAUCUGUCUCUACCCUUCUCUCACUAGAAAUGCCAAAAAAGAGUUGUCGGUAGGAGAAGCUGUUUCACAGUUGCUUUUGCAGGGUCUUUUUUUGAACCUGGUGGGAAUGUCUGUCCCACAGAACCCAAAAGAAGGAAAGCCUGAGCACACUGUAAUUGCUGCCUAAAUUUAGAAUUGAGGUACACUCCCUGCUAAUCAUGAGUCAAAUGUAAAUUACUGAAAAAUCAGUGGGCUUAGACUAUGGCCAUAAACAGUGUAGCUUUGAAAAUUUAGAGAUUUAUGCUUAGUCGAGGUGAUGAUUGGAUUGCAAACGGAUAUUUGUAGGAGCUCCCUGAUGACCUAGCAAUUAAGGAUCUGGUGUUGUCACUGCUAUGACUCAGGUCACUGUUGAGGCUCAGGUCUGAUCUCUUGCCUGGGAACUUCCACAUGCUGGGAGGGUAGGGGGAAAAAAAGGUGUUGGUAAAUUUAAACAUCAUUUCUGUUUUUCGGAUAAAACUCAUCAGUGCUUUGAAUCACAAACAACACUAACCAAAAGAAUCCAUGUGGAUGUAUGUUUCACAAAGGUGAAAGGAGAAGAAAGAAUGGACAAAAAAGGAGAUAAGUGCUUGCAUCCCCUUGUCUCUCUUUGAUUACCCACUUUUCCUCCCAAACUAGCUGUCAACACCUCAAGGCAAGAAUGUUCCCACAUGGUGUCCCACAGUUGGAAAUGCUACUCAACAAGAUAGGAUCAACAGAGUCAAAAGAAAAUGAUCAGAGAUUCAAACUUCUAUCUCCCUGCUGGACAUCUUCACUGGACUUGAAAUUUCCUAUGCUCGACAGUAAAGCAACCUACAUACAGACCCGGACUUGAGUCCUAACUCUACAACUUCAAGCCCAUCACUGAAAUUUUCUCAGCCUCAAAUUCUUAAAUGAGGAAAAUAAAAAUAUCUACCUUACACA
rnacentral:lncRNA from 1 species